CGGGGCGUGGCUCAGCCUGGUAGAGCGCUCGGUUCGGGACCGAGAGGUCGAAAGUUCAAAUCUUUCCGCCCCGACCA
rnacentral:tRNA from 1 species